AUUAAACGCAUUGGGACUUCAUCUGUUAUUGAUUAACAUUACGUGCUGUUAUAUUAAGGUUUGUCCAAGAAUUGAUUUGUUAGGUGUCAGGAUGAAGGUGGUAACCUGUGAGAUUGCCUGGCAUAAUAAGGAGCCGGUGUACAGUCUAGAUUUCCAGCAGAGCGGUCAGGGAAAGAUAGAGCGGCUUGCUACAGCUGGGGUGGACACCACAGUACGGAUGUGGCGUGUGGAUAAAGGGCCUGAUGGGAAGGCGGUCGUUGAGUUUUUGUCUAACUUGGCACGA